rnacentral:misc_RNA from 1 species
UAACCGUAGGUGAACCUGCGGUUGGAUCAUUAAAAAGUAAUAAACCCGCAGAAGGACCGGUGAUGAGCGGAACCGAAAAUGCCUUGCGCUUUUCGAGGGGGACGAAAGUCUCUUGAAGCCUCCUGGUCCUGCGGACGAAAGUAGGCCCUUACGGGCAAAAACCUUUUGUGAACUGUUUCUGUCUCUGGCGGUGGGGUAGAACGCGGGCAACUGCAUCUAUCUGUCAGCUCGGGCAACCGGGCCGUGGACAAACCGCCAACCACUUGCUUGAACCUAACUUACUAUUUUAUUGUCUGACAUUCUAUUUGUAUAAAUAUACAAACAACUUUUGGCAACGGAUCUCUUGGCUCUC